rnacentral:rRNA from 1 species
ACCAGACUCCUACGGGAGGCAGCAGUGGGGGAUAUUGCACAAUGGGGGAAACCCUGAUGCAGCGACGCCGCGUGAGUGAAGAAGUAUUUCGGUAUGUAAAGCUCUAUCGGCAGGGAAGAAAAAGCGCGCGAGCGCCCUUGACAGUACCUGACUAAGAAGCCCCGGCUAACUACGUGCCCGCAGCCGCGGUAAUACGUAGGGGGCAAGCGUUAUCCGGAUUUACUGGGUGUAAAGGGAGCGUAGGCGGCCAUGCAAGUCAGAAGUGAAAACCCGGGGCUCAACCCUGGGAGUGCUUUUGAAACUAUGCGGCUAGAGUGUCGGAGGGGUAAGUGGAAUUCCUAGUGUAGCGGUGAAAUGCGUAGAUAUUAGGAGGAACACCAGUGGCGAAGGCGGCUUACUGGACGAUGACUGACGCUGAGGCUCGAAAGCGUGGGGAGCAAACAGGAUUAGAUCCCCUCGUA